rnacentral:rRNA from 1 species
AGCGAACGUUAGCGGCGGGCUUAACACAUGCAAGUCGAGCGAGAAAGGGGCUUCGGCCCUGAGUACAGCGGCGGACGGGUGAAUAACACGUAGGUAAUCUUCCUUUCAGCGGGGGACAACGGUCCGAAAGGACCGCUAAUACCGCAUACGUUCCCUGGGACCUCGGUCCUGGGGAGGAAAGGCCCGCAAGGGCCACUGGAUGAGGGGCCUGCGUAGCAUCAGCUAGUUGGUGGGGUAAUGGCCUACCAAGGCGAAGACGCUUAGCUGGUCUGAGAGGAUGAUCAGCCACACUGGGACUGAGACACGGCCCAGACUCCUACGGGAGGCAGCAGUAGGGAAUAUUGGACAAUGGGUGCGAGCCUGAUCCAGCCAUGCCGCGUGCAGGAAGACGGCCUUCUGGGUUGUAAACUGCUUUUGCCAGGGGAUAAAAAAGUCCCUGCGGGGAAAAGUUAGAAGGGUAACCUGGUGAAUAAGCCACGGCUAACUACGUGCCAGCAGCCGCGGUAAU